UACAGGGGGUGCAAACGUUGCUCGGAAUUAUUGGGCGUAAAGCGCGCGUAGGCGGCUACUUAAGUCGGAUGUGAAAGCCCUUGGCUCAACUGAGGAAGUGCACCCGAAACUGAGUGGCUUGAGUACUAAAGAGGGUCGCGGAAUUCCCGGUGUAGAGGUGAAAUUCGUAGAUAUCGGGAGGAACACCGGUGGCGAAGGCGGCGACCUGGGUAGGUCCUGACGCUGAGACGCGAAGGCGUGGGGAGCGAACGGG
rnacentral:rRNA from 1 species